rnacentral:rRNA from 1 species
UGGGCAACCUGCCCUCAGCUCUGGGAUAACUCCAAGAAAUUGGGGCUAAUACCGGAUAUGACCGCUGACCGCAUGGUCUGGUGGUGGAAAGAUUUAUCGGCUGGGGAUGGGCCCGCGGCCUAUCAGCUUGUUGGGGGGGUAGUGGCCUACCAAGGCGACGACGGGUAGCCGGCCUGAGAGGGUGACCGGCCACACUGGGACUGAGACACGGCCAACGACCCCUACGGGAG